UCCUGACUGACCGAUAGUGAACCAGUACCGUGAGGGAAAGGCGAAAAGAACCCCGGCGAGGGGAGUGAAAAAGAACCUGAAACCGUGUACGUACAAGCAGUGGGAGCACGCUUAGGCGUGUGACUGCGUACCUUUUGUAUAAUGGGUCAGCGACUUAUAUUCUGUAGCAAGGUUAACCGAAUAGGGGAGCCGAAGGGAAACCGAGUCUUAACUGGGCGUUAAGUUGCAGGGUAUAGACCCGAAACCCGGUGAUCUAGCCAUGGGCAGGUUGAAGGUUGGGUAACACUAACUGGAGGACCGAACCGACUAAUGUUGAAAAAUUAGCGGAUGACUUGUGGCUGGGGGUGAAAGGCCAAUCAAACCGGGAGAUAGCUGGUUCUCCCCGAAAGCUAUUUAGGUAGCGCCUCGUGAAUUCAUCUCCGGGGGUAGAGCACUGUUUCGGCAAGGGGGUCAUCCCGACUUACCAACCCGAUGCAAACUGCGAAUACCGGAGAAUGUUAUCACAGGAGACACACGGCGGGUGCUAACGUCCGUCGUGAAGAGGGAAACAACCCAGACCGCCAGCUAAGGUCCCAAAGUCAUGGUUAAGUGGGAAACGAUGUG
rnacentral:rRNA from 1 species